GAUGGACUGGCCAAGCAUGUCUCCAGACCUAAACCCUAUUGAGCAUCUGUGGGGCAAGGUGGGGGAGCGCAAGGUCUCUAAUCUCCACCAGCUCCGUGAUGUUGUCAUGGAGGAGUGGAAGAGGACUCCAGUGGCAACCUGUGAAGCUCUGGUGAAUUCCAUGCCCAUGAGGAUUAAGGCAGUGCUGGAAAAUACUGGUGGCCACAAAUUUUUUUGACACUUUGGGCCCAAUUUGGACAUUUGCACUUAGGAGUGUACUCACUUUUGUUGCCAACGGUUUAUAC